GUGGCGGACGGGUGAGUAACGCGUGGGUAACCUGCCUUGUACUGGGGGACGAACAGUUGGAAACGACUGCUAAUACCGCAUAAGCGCACAGCCUCGCAUGAAGCAGUGUGAAAAAACUCCGGUGGUACAAGAUGGACCCGCGUCUGAUUAGCUGGUUGGUGAGGUAACGGCCCACCAAGGCAACGAUCAGUAGCCGGCCUGAGAGGGUGAACGGCCACAUUGGGACUGAGACACGGCCCAAACUCCUACGGGAGGCAGCAUG
rnacentral:rRNA from 1 species